rnacentral:rRNA from 1 species
UACGUAGGGGGCAAGCGUUGUCCGGAUUUAUUGGGCGUAAAGAGCGCGUAGGCGGCCCGGUAAGUCCGCUGUGAAAGUCAAAGGCUCAACCUUUGAAUGUCAGCGGAUACUGCCGGGCUAGAGUCCGGAAGAGGCGAGUGGAACUCCUGGUGUAGCGGUGGAAUGCGCAGAUAUCAGGAAGAACACCAACGGCGAAGGCAGCUCGCUGGGACGGAACUGACGCUGAGGCGCGAAAGCGUGGGGAGCGAACAGG